CCGCAGAUAGAGAGAGAAGAUGCGAAGAGGAAGAAAGCGCGUCACAUUGUCGCACGCCGAUUGAGGAGCUUCGGUGGAUCGAGCAGACUGAUUUGAGAUUUCUGUGCCGUUUGCGAGUUAAGGUUUGGAUUUGUGGAAAGGGGUUUAGUCCCUGGCGGAGUUGGGCCUGAAUUUGUGGUAGCGAGAGAAGGCGGAUGUAGAUUCAGUGAGGGACAGAUGAAAGCUUCUUCGUUUUCUGGCCAAACAAAAUUACCAUAUUUGGUCAUAUUUCCGUUUAUGGAUGGAGAUCUCCUAAGGAGGCAAUUUUAGUGUUUUUUUCAGUUUAGAGAGGAAAAUCUUUAUCAUCCCAAAGAUAAAUAAAUAAAUAUAAUUUUAAAGAGUUUAAUUAUAAA